CAGUCGCCACGGUAAUACGUAGGUGGCAAGCGUUGUCCGGAAUUAUUGGGCGUAAAGGGCUCGCAGGCGGUUUCUUAAGUCUGAUGUGAAAGCCCCCGGCUCAACCGGGGAGGGUCAUUGGAAACUGGGAAACUUGAGUGCAGAAGAGGAGAGUGGAAUUCCACGGGUAGCGGUGAAAUGCGUAGAGAUGUGGAGGAACACCAGUGGCGAAGGCGACUCUCUGGUCCGUAACUGACGCUGAGGAGCGAAAGCGUGGGGAGCAAACAGGAUUAGAUACCCCAGUAGUCCCUGUCUCUUAUAC
rnacentral:rRNA from 1 species